rnacentral:rRNA from 1 species
GACGAACGCUGGCGGCGUGCUUAACACAUGCAAGUCGAACGGAAAGGCCUGCUUUCCCUUGUGGAUUGCGGGUACUCGAGUGGCGAACGGGUGAGUAACACGUGAGUGAUCUGCCCCCAACUUGGGUAUAAGCCUGGGAAACUGGGUCUAAUUCCCGAUAGGACUGCAGGGUGGUGCCUGUGGUGGAAAACGAUUUUCUAGUGGUUGGGGAUGAGCUCGCGGCCUAUCAGCUUGUUGGUGGGGUAAUGGCCUACCAAGGCGGCGACGGGUAGCCGGCCUGAGAGGGUGGACGGCCACAUUGGGACUGAGAUACGGCCCAGACUCCUACGGGAGGCAGCAGUGGGGAAUAUUGCACAAUGGGCGGAAGCCUGAUGCAGCGACGCCGCGUGGAGGAUGACGGCCUUUGGGUUGUAAACUCCUUUCGACCGCGAGGAAGCCACCUGGUUGGAAGGGUGGUGACGGUAGUGGUAGAAGAAGCACCGGCUAACUACGUG